CGGGAUAUCUGAAUUUACAUGUGUUAGAGACUGCUGCUUUGGUUAAAGCCACAGGGACAUGAGGCUCUCAACCCAUGGCCUGGGUCUCCAUGCCCCCCAACUCCUCCACCACACAGUACAGAAAUGGACACUGCAAAUUUCUGUCUGAGGCCAGCCUUGGCAGCGGAGCCAACGAGAAGAGAAACAGCCUGUGCUCUAAUAAGUAAAAUAUUUAUGUCUUGCUUUGGCUAACAUACCCUCUCUCAAUAAAAUAUUUUUCCCAGGAGGAAAUCUAUGAAAGGGAGGGAGCUCCUUUAUUAUGUCCCCAAAUCAUUCUUUUCUGCUGCCCUUCAAAAGCCUGGAAAUCAAAGACCACUGUAGUCCAAAGCUUUUUGUUGCCGUUCUUGACUUUGUUAUCGUUAGUUAUUACAAUCAUUACAUUGAUUACCAUUAUGAGCUCUCAAGAGGCC
rnacentral:lncRNA from 1 species